CGGGAAAAGCUCAAAUUUAAAAUCUGGCGGUCUCUGGCCGUCCGAGUUGUAAGUUAGAGAAGUGUUACCCGCGCUGGACCGUGUACAAGUCUCCUGGAACGGAGCGUCAUAGAGGGUGAGAAUCCCGUCU
rnacentral:rRNA from 1 species